rnacentral:tRNA from 1 species
GGGCCCUUAGCUCAGCCGGUUAGAGCACCGGACUCAUAAUCCGAGGGACGGAGGUUCAAAUCCUCCAGGGCCCA